UGGAUCACUGUGGAGUUAUUUUCAUCCGAGAGACGCUGUGAUUGGUGGAAAGGAUAUGGAGCAAGGGACUGGCAGCGACAUAACCAAUCGCACUAUCACAGACGCUCCACUUAGCACCAACGGCCAUGUGUAUUUUAAAAUGAAUG